CCCUUAGAUGUUCUGGGCCACACACGCGCUACACUGAAGGAGGCAGCGUGUACUCCUGGAUCGAAAGAUUUGGGUAACCCGCGAAUCUCCUUCGUGCUAGGGAUUGAGGUUUGCAAUUAUCCUUCAUGAACGAGGAAUUCCCAGUAAGUGCAAGUCAUAAGCUUGCGCUGACUACGUCCCUGCCCUUUGUACACACCGCCCGUCGCUACUACCGAUUGAAUGAUUUAGUGAGGACUUCGGACUGGGACCAAUGCGGCUUUCGGGCUGCGUCGGUAUUCUGGAAAGAUGUCCAAACUGUAUCAUUUAGAGGAAGUAAAANUCGUAACA
rnacentral:rRNA from 1 species